GGACAACGGCUACUACCCUCAAGUGACGUGCGUGAACAAGACGUGGGUUGGGUUCCCGAGCGAGUGGCGCUGCAUCAGGAACGACGCGCCGCUGAAGGAACCCGUGGUGGUUGUGGACGAGACGGAGCUCAACUACUUCUUCGUCGUGACCGUGCCUUCUGUGGGCGGCCUGGUGCUCGUGAUCAUCUUCUGCCUGUGCUGCACAAGGACCGACUCGCCACUCUUCAACAUUUGCAGCGCGAAGGUCAGCAAGCACUACUCGAAGGCGUGAGGUGGGUGGAGCCAGCGAGACCACGGACAAAAGCGUACAAAAACACGGACAAA